UGAAGAGCUGACUGCUAGUGGGGAAGGAUCUCUUGUGGAGAUCCACUCUGCUGGAGUUUCAUAAAUGAGCCCAGGAUACAGGAGGGUGAUCUGAAUGCAGGAAAGCUGUCGUGUUCCUUCUCUACAAGUAUUUUUAAAUCAUUGACUUUGCAAUCUCGAUAAUUAGGAUUUUCCAACAGAGAUUGUAUUCAAAAAGGAAAGGAAAAAAAGAAAAGAAAAGAAAAACCCUGAACACUUGGAUACAAAUACAGGUCACAAUCCUGCUUCAGCUGAAGUCAAAGGAACAGUGUCAGGCAAUGAGUUCUGCCUCGUUAGAGCAUGCUGGGUGAAUGUCUUCCAUUUCCCUUGGAUAACAAGAGACCUGGAGCUCGAUUCAUAUCCGUGUCACCCAAGACAAUACAGGUGUUGCACCCUCAUAGGAGGGAUGUUUCUGAAACAACCUUUCUGAUGCUGGCAGUGAAAUUGGUCUUUGCUUUACAAAUGCCAGCGCAUGGAGUUGGUGCAAAAUGGUGAAGAUGGCUCCUGCCCAGUGCUUAACUCCAGUUUGGUGCUGGCAUAAAUGCAGUUCUGUUUGCCAUGGCCAGAUAUCGCUUUGCCAAGUGGAGAUAAGCCCUGAAAGACAGAUUUUUAUAGACUCACAGAGCAGCUCGGGUUGGAAGAUCCGUUCCAAUGAUGAUGAAACCUUCUGUGAUUCAAAAAUAUUUUUCCUGUAUUUUGCAGCAUUCAAGACCAAAGGUUUCUUGGACUCCAAACCACAGCCACGUCACCCUCAUACACAGCUUCCUUUGCAACUUCAGCUUGUGACAAGCAUCCCCUUUGGCAAAAUAGCUCUUGCAAUGGAACUAUCUUCACGUUUGUGUCUGCCUACAGUCACCCAUGAGACAUUGACCUCCAUCCGUCUCCAGCCCUGGAAAGUCCCACAAUGAGAGGUUUGGUGGGUUUGGAUUUGCAAGGAGUAGCUGGGGCAGUGUGAAGGCAAAGUCCAAGCUCAUCCUCGCUCAUGGUUUAACACAGAUAGAGACAUGUGAACAAAUUCGAGGUGGCAGUUGUAGACUUAAGGCCAUUGCAGCCCCGAUGAGCUGAUGGUUUAUAUUCCUGCCACAAAAGGUUGUUUUCAUUGUUGUUUUAAUCACUAGCACAAAAUAAUUCCAAUCUUUUUUUUUUUCCUCCCGUGAAGCGAUGAAGUGACAAAGCAGCAAAAUAAAUAAUUGUAUCGUCGUCUACGCAGAGCAAGCAAAAUUGGGUUUGCAAAAUAAAAUAAAGGAAUCAAUCACUUUCCAUACACAAAGACUAUUUUUAAGUAAUUCUUGAAGCAGGAGAAGUUUUAGGAUCAGAGAAGUGGCUGUAAUCAAAAUGCUGGAGGAAGAUGGGAUUCGUUCAGAAAACUAAGUGCCUCAUUAAAAAUCAAUCUCCUUUCUGCACAUUCAAAUAGUGUAUUGAUUAUCAUACUUUACCAGAUCUGUUUAUAGUCACAUUUGCUUGAGGGAGGUAAAAAAAA